GGCGGCCGCCGAGAGGGUUCACAAAGGGUAGGGUGGUGUGGAGCAAGGCAGGGUCCUCGCAGGCAGUGCCAAGAUUGAGCUGGGGGUGGGCAGAGUGGGCGGGGUGCGGACCCAUGGCCCUACGCAUCCUGGGCCAGGUCUCUUGUGGUGCUUCACGCUCUCGACCUGUGAGUGGUGCCUGCUAGAGCUGCCCAGAUCCCUUUUCCCUACCCCUUCUGACCCUGGACCCAGAGUGGUGGUUGCGAUCUGCUACCGUGACGUCAGCCCUCAUUCGUUCGUUCCACAAACUCCACAGCUCUGGUCCAUUAGAGGAAGGAGGUCCCAGAAUAGCUGGGAAAUUACGAGAACAGCCUCACUGCACGAGUUGGUGAAUGCUGUGAUGGCGAUUGUAUGAUGGACGGUGAUGUUGAAACCAGACUGGGGAAUGACCGCCCCAUCCGGAGAGAGACGGGGUCUUGCUCUGUCAUCCAGGCUGGAUUGCAGUGUCAUUGAUCAUAGCUCAAGCGGUCUUCCUGCCUCAGCCUCCCAAAGUGCUGUGAUUACAGGUGUGAGCCACUGCACCUGGCCUCUUCAUAUCUUACAACGAAAAGCACCAAGGAUUCUCUUUUGUUGAAUUUGAGUUGGCAGAGGAUGUUGCAGCAGCUGUCAACAACAUGUUUGGUCAGAUGAAGACUGGGUGGAGAAGUUUGCUGGGAAGAGGAUAAAGAGGAAGGUGGUUGAGACUUCCCAAAGCAGAAAGCCAGGAGCGCAGCCCAUUUACUGCCUUCUCCAGGAAGCUUUUCUGAAUCCUCCAGUGAGUAAGGGAGAGCCCACUGCUAAAAAAGGCCUAGUCAAAUCCUCAGGUGUACAUGGACAUCAAGAUUGGGAACAAGCCGGCUGGCUGCAUCCAAACCCUCCUGCGUUCCGACGUCGUGCCCAUGACCACAGAGAAUUUUCUCUACAUGUGCACCCAUUUAAAGGACUCGGCUUCAAGGGAAGCAGCUUCCACCGCAUUAUCCCCCAGUUCAUUUGCCAGGGCAGUGAUUUCACAAACCACGGUGGCACCAGGGGUCUGCGCAGGCAUGGCACUAAGUGUCCCAUGGCACAUUUGGCCCUCAUGGAGGCCUCAAAAGGGCAGGACCAGCACCCUCUUCUACGGAGGAAGGAACGGGCACAGCAGAAACAAGGAGAGUCAGCAAUUACCAGCCAGCCAAGGUCCUGGAAGCUGACGUAGAGCUCGUGCCGACGGCAGACCUGCCGGCCGUGGGAGCCGCGGACGUCAUCUGCAGGGACAGAAGGGGCAAGGUCUUUUCUGGGGUUCCUGCUGUGUGCAGCUACUAUGGGGUACCAGGGUGGGGGAUGCCCUGAUGAGCACAUUUGUCAAAUAAAUGAAUGACAGGAAA
ensembl:lncRNA PPIEL peptidylprolyl isomerase E like (pseudogene)